rnacentral:rRNA from 1 species
CUUGGUCAUUUAGAGGAAGUAAAAGUCGUAACAAGGUUUCCGUAGGUGAACCUGCGGAAGGAUCAUUAGUGAAUUAAACAUGCUUGGUGUCUUCGCUUCGGCAAGGCCCUUGCUUAAAUCACAUCCUAACACCUGUGAACUGUAAGACGUAUGAUGAGGUCUUUGGCCAAGUCAUCGUCUGCCCUUUUUUAACAAACAAUUAAUGUAACAAACGUAGUCUUAUUAUAACCUAAUAAAACUUUCAACAACGGAUCUCUUGGCUCUCGCAUCGAUGAAGAACGCAGCGAAAUGCGAUAAGUAAUGUGAAUUGCAGAAUUCAGUGAAUCAUCGAAUCUUUGAACGCACCUUGCGCUCUUUGGUAUUCCGAAGAGCAUGCCUGUUUGAGUGUCAUGAAAAUAUCAACCUUGACUUGGGUUUUGUGCUCUAGUCUUGGCUUGGAAUUGGGUGCUUGCCGCUUUUACGAGCGGCUCACCUUAAAUGUAUUAGCUGGAUCUGUCUUUGAGACUUGGUUUGACUUGGCGUAAUAAGUAUUUCGCUAAGGACAUUCUUCGGAGUGGCCUCGUUUCUAGGACGCUUGUCCGCUUCCCAAUACAAGUUCCACCUCGUGGACAUGACUUUUUUAUUAUCUGGCCUCAAAUCAGGUAGGACUACCCGCUGAACUUAAGCAUAUCAAUAAGCGGAGGA